CCCAGCUGUAGGCAGCUGCCUAGGUUGCUUUGUACUGAGGCAAGUGUUCCACUAUUGGGAGAAAAACAGCUAAUAGCUGGUGAACACUGUGCGCUUGGUUAAUGCCAAAUCUGUGUUAACUAU
ensembl:snoRNA SNORA74 Small nucleolar RNA SNORA74